AGUGAACGCUGGCGGUAGGCCUAACACAUGCAAGUCGAGCGGCAGCGGGUCCUUCGGGAUGCCGGCGAGCGGCGGACGGGUGAGGAAUACAUCGGAAUCUGCCAAGUCGUGGGGGAUAACCUAGGGAAACUUAGGCUAAUACCGCAUACGACCUACGGGUGAAAGCGGGGGAUCGCAAGACCUCGCGCGACAGGAUGAGCCGAUGUCCGAUUAGCUAGUUGGCGGGGUAAAGGCCCACCAAGGCGACGAUCGGUAGCUGGUCUGAGAGGAUGAUCAGCCACACUGGGACUGGGACACGGCCCAGACUCCUACGGGAGGCAGCAGUGGGGAAUAAUGGACAAUGGGCGCAAGCCUGGUCCAGCCAUGACGCGUGGGUGAAGAAGGCCUUCGGGUUUUAAAGCCCUUUUGUCCGGGAAGAAAUCGUCUGGGCUAAUACCCCGGGCGGAUGACGGUACCGGAAGAAUAAGCACCGGCUAACUUCGUG
rnacentral:rRNA from 1 species